CCAGCCUGGGUGACAGAGUGAGAUUCCAUCUCAAAAAAAAAAAAAGAAAAGAAAAUGAAAAUGUAGCAAUUUAAGGUUUUUAUAAAAGGCAAUAAAGUUCAGGAUUUAAGUUACA